CGCCGAGAACAUGGCCGGAGGCAAAGCUGGAAAGGACAGUGGGAAGGCCAAGGCUAAGGCAGUAUCUCGCUCACAGAGAGCUGGGCUACAGUUUCCUGUGGGCCGCAUCCACAGACACUUGAAGACUCGCACCACAAGCCAUGGAAGGGUGGGUGCCACUGCUGCCGUGCACAGGGCUGCGAUUCCGGGGUACCUCACUGCAGAGGUGCUGGAGCUGGCAGCUUGGCCCCAAGUGUGGAAGGCUCCAGCUUCCUUCCCCGCCGCAGGAUCCUAUUACUUCUUUGUUCUGUUUGAACUCUGCAGACUCUAAAGUGAAGUGAGUCGGUGGAAAACCUGGCUGGAUCUCAAGAAUACAGCCUGCGUCUGAGUCCCAUGAAUCUCCCCGCAGCUUAAGGCCUCCUGUGAGCAGAGCGGAUACUGUAAAGCCCUCUCAAAGACACUAAUAACUAGAAGUGGGACUGUAGCUCCAAAGUGGCUUUUUUUUCCCCUUUCCCCCGUGUAACUUGCUGGAAGCACUUCGUAUUUCUUUAUUUCUUUGUGGAAUAAAAAAAAUUUGUUUGUAAUUCCAUGAGAAUUAGAAAGGCUUGUCUCAACUUCUGAGUUGGUACUUGACAUUCAGAUACUAAAUUUACUAGAGGAAGCACUUUUGCUAGAUUAACCAACGAUGGAUUUUUCUUCACAAUUGCGUGUUAAUUUGCUCCCUCUUUGAGAUGUCAAUUUUUGGUUUUAGCAACACAGCCCACCCCAUAGAUCAGCAGAUCUGUGAGUGUGGAUUCAGUUGUUAGCAUCACGGGGCAGGGGUCCCUGGACUGCAUGUGCCUUUGUAUUAAUUGACUAGACUUGCAGUUAUAUUAAUUCUACUUGUGGUUGUUUAAAUUGUGCCUACUUGCACCUUACUUGUUGAGUCAAGAUAACAGGGGUUAUAUAAACGAGUUUAUAAUAUAUUUGGCUUAUCCUGCUCCUCGUCUGGCUCUGAUAAAAUUUUAAACGUUCAUUUUUCUUUCUUUCUGUCUCCCAAGUCGUUUCUGAAAGGCAAGACGUUAGACUAAAACCAACUUCUAUACUUAAGAUUAUCCUUGAAAUAGUUACGAAUAUGUUCAGGAAACAAAGCCUUGCUCAUUAUGUGCUAGAACAAUGGGUAAACUUUGCUUUCUUGUAGAGAAGAAAAUGUUUUCUUCAAUAAGAUAUCGGAAACUAUUUUUGUACUUGAGAAAUCAUGUUACUAGAGACCUAAAAGAUCCGCAUUUUGUGGCUGUUUAAGAAAGCUACACAAGAUGGCGCCAGAGAGCCGGAGUGGAGAGGGAUGCGCGCCCCGCACGAAAAGCUCAGCGCCAAAGGGGCGCCCGGGGCGGGCAGGCGCGUGUACCGGUUCUGCGGCGGGGCGGCUGGGCAGGGGCGCUUUGCCCAUCCUCACAGCUUCCGCUCUCUCCGGGCAACCUUUUCACCAGCUUCGCACAGACUUUCCGCCCGGCACCGUCCUUGGGUCCUCGGGGUCUCUGGAGCGGCCUGGAGGAGCCGCUGGAGAAGGAAGGGGGAGAAAGCAGCGGCGGAGGCGGAGGCUUCCUCAGGCCCACUUCGAAGCAGGGCGCCCGGCCGAGCCUCUGAGGAAAGCGCGCGCGGGACGCGGAUGGGUCUCGGCCUCCAGGGGCCGCGGGAAGGGAGAGGAGGAGGGCGAGGGGAAGCGGCGCUCGCGCCCGGACUCCGGCCAUUCCUCAGCGGUCCACCGCAGCUGGCGUUCUUCUUUGAUCCCCGGAGUUCUCAAUGAAAGAACGGAGAAAGUGGCUUAAAAAAUUGUGGUUGAAUACACACAACAGAAAAUUUACCAUCUUAACCAGUUCGGUGGCAUGGAGUGCACUCAGCCGUUGCGUAUAUGGGCGAGUGUCGCCACUGCCCAUCUCCAGAACGCUUCAUCAAAGGGGACGAAACAUCGCGUCCGUGAAAUGAUAACUCCCGCUCCCCUCUCCCCGCUCUCCCCGGCCCUGGCAGCCAAGCGUGCUCUUUCUGUCUGGAGGAAUCUAACCACUCUCCGCACCCCAUAGAAGCGGAAUGCCACAGUCCCAUUUGUCCUUUUGUGAUGGACUGACUUCACUUAGCAUCAUGGCCUCAAGGCUCAUUCCUGCUGUAGCCUGUGCCAGAAUUGCCUGCCUUUUAAUAAGCCUGAAUCAUAUUCCUGUGUGUGUGUGUGUGUGUGUGUGUGUGUGUAUCACCACAUUUUGCCACUUUUACGUAUAGACCACAUAUCUUUCUUCCUUUUUUAAAAAAAUUAUUUUUUAUUUCAAUAGUUUUUGGGGUACAGGUGGCGUUCGGUUGUGUGGAUACAUUCUUUUUUUUGGGGGGCAGAGUCUUGCUCUGUCGCCCAGGCUGGAGUACAGUGGCAGGAUCUCGGCUCACUGCAAUCUUCCCCUCCUGGGUUCAAGCGAUCCUCCUGCCUCAGUCUCCCGAGUAGCUGGGACUACAGGCACCUGCCACCACGCCCAGCUAAUUUUUGUAUUUUUAGUGGAGACGGGGCUUCACCACUUUGGCCAGGCAGGUCUUGAACUCCUGACCUCAGGUGAUCCGACUGCCUCUGCCUCCCAAAGUGCUAGGAUUACAGGAGUGAGCCACCGUGCCCAGCCAUGUGGAUACAUUCUUCAGCCUUGAUUUCUGAGAUAUUAGUGCACCUGUUACUGAAGCAGUGUAUGCUGUACCCAAUGUGUAGUCUUUUAUACCUCGCCCCCCGACCAGCCUUCCCCUGCAAGUCCCCAGAGUCCAUUAUAUCACUCUUAUGCCUUUGCCUACUUAUAGCUUACCUCCC
ensembl:lncRNA novel transcript